ACGACGGGACCCAGGGAAGUGUGCCUACCAUCCGCUUGUGUCUGGAAGGGCCCUUCUCCCCCUCCUUGCCCAGCCUCUAUGUGGCCCGGCUUCUCCAGGCUCAGAGUGUUUGGUUGAGCAGAGUGUGUGCUCCAGGUUUGCAUGGUCUCCACAACGCACUGUGUAACAUUUGGAAUGAGACGGUCCUAAGAUAUUCCCACAGAAGCUGUUUAAGCCAAGGGGCAGCUGGGAGUCAAGUCUGACUUGGAAAGUGGGUGCUUGACCUUGGCGCCAUGAUUGAGAGAGUGAACAUUGACACAAUGAUGCUCAUCUGUGGCGGCUUAUUGAUCGCCGCGUUUUUCCUCUUGUGCUGUUUCCUCUGUGUCUACUGCAAGCUGGCCAGCGUCUUGAGGUGAGUGAGUGGGUGGGAGGGAAUGAGACCCCUCCCGUGGGACACCUGGGGCUCUCUGCCAGGGCAGGGCCACUCCUUGCCCUGGGGCCACACCCUGACUGGGGUCAGGGGCAGAGGGCAGGUCUGAACAGGCAAAGGCAGGUGAGUACAGGACCUUGGCUUCUUCUCCUCCCGGCUUGGGUUUGUGGGCUCACAGGGGAGAGUUGUCAGCCCGGCGGGCAGGUGGCUCUGUGUGUCACU